GUUUGGGAGGAGUUUACGAACUCCGUUUGGUCAAGGAUAGUGCCAAGAAAAGCUAGUAAUGUGAUGAAGAUAUCUUACCCGUACCCGAAACCGACACAGGUAGGGAGGUUGAGAAUACCAAGGGGCGCGAGAUAACUCUCUCUAAGGAACUCGGCAAAAUGGCCCCGUAACUUCGGAAGAAGGGGUGCCCACGAGAGUGGGUCGCAGUGAAGAGAUCCAGGCGACUGUUUACCAAAAACACAGGUCUCCGCAAACUCGAAAGAGGACGUAUGGGGGCUGACGCCUGCCCAGUGCCGGAAGGUUAAGGAAGUUGGUCAGUGGCAACAUGAAGCUAGCGACUGAAGCCCCGGUGAACGGCGGCCGUAACUAUAACGGUCCUAAGGUAGCGAAAUUCCUUGUCGGGUAAGUUCCGACCCGCACGAAAGGCGUAACGAUCUGGAUGGUGUCUCAGAGAGAGACUCGGCGAAAUAGGAAUGUCUGUGAAGAUACGGACUGCCUGCACCUGGACAGAAAGACCCUAUGAAGCUUUACUGUAGCCUGGAAUUGUGUUCGGGCUUGGCUUGCGCAGGAUAGGUGGGAAGCGAUGAACUUCUCCUUGUGGGGAGAAAGGGAGCUAACGGUGAGAUACCACUCUGGCGAAGCUAGAAUUCUAACUCAUCUCCGUCAGCCGGAGAGAGGACAGUUUCAGGUGGGCAGUUUGUCUGGGGCGGUCGCCUCCUAAAAGGUAACGGAGGCGCGCAAAGGUUCUCUCAGCACGCUUGGAAACCGUGCGGCGAGUGUAAAGGCAAUAAGAGAGCUUGACUGUAAGACCGACAAGUCGAACAGGUACGAAAGUAGGCCUUAGUGAUCCGACGGCUCAGCAUGGAAUGGCCGUCGCUCAACGGAUAAAAGUUACUCUAGGGAUAACAGGCUGAUCUCCCCCAAGAGUUCACAUCGACGGGGAGGUUUGGCACCUCGAUGUCGGCUCAUCGCAACCUGGGGCGGAAGUACGUCCCAAGGGUUGGGCUGUUCGCCCAUUAAAGCGGUACGUGAGCUGGGUUCAGAACGUCGUGAGACAGUUCGGUCCAUAUCCGGUGCAGGCGUAAGAACAUUGAGAGGAGUCCUCCUUAGUACGAGAGGACCGGGAGGAACGAACCGCUGGUGUACCAGUUAUUGUACCAACAGUAGACGCUGGGUAGCCAAGUUCGGAGCGGAUAACCGCUGAAAGCAUCUAAGUGGGAAGCCCACCUCAAGAUGAGUGUUCUCACUACUUUAAGUAGGUAAGGUCACGGGCAGAACACCCGUUUAUAGGCUUUAAGUGGAAGUACAGUAAUGUAUGUAGCUGAGAAGUCCUAACAGACCGAGGGCUUGAC
rnacentral:rRNA from 1 species